rnacentral:rRNA from 1 species
UACGUAGGCAGCGAGCGUUGUUCGGAAUUACUGGGCGUAAAGCGAGUGUAGGUGGUUGUCCAAGUUGGAUGUGAAAGCCUUGAGCUCAACUCAAGAAAUGCAUUCAGGACUGGGCGGCUAGAGGACCGGAGAGGAUAGUGGAAUUCCCAGUGUAGUGGUGAAAUACGUAGAGAUUGGGAAGAACACCAGUGGCGAAGGCGGCUAUCUGGACGGUUUCUGACACUAAGACUCGAAAGCGUGGGGAGCAAACAGG